rnacentral:rRNA from 1 species
GGCGUGCAUAACACAUGCAAGUCGACCGAGAAGAGUGUACUUCGGGUGGGAGAGUAAAGUGGCGCACGGGUGAGUAACGCGUGGGUAACCUGCCCCUGAAUUCGGGAUGCUCCGCGAAAGCGGUGCUAAUACCGAAUGUCGUCACAGGGACCGUGGUCCCUGGGAUGAAAGGUGACCUCUCCAUGGAAGUUGCCGUUCGGGGAGGGGCUCGCGUACCAUUAGCUUGUUGGUGGGGUAAUGGCCUACCAAGGCUACGAUGGUUAGCUGGCCUGAGAGGAUGAUCAGCCACACUGGCACUGAAACACGGGCCAGACUCCUACGGGAGGCAGCAGUGAGGAAUUUUGCGCAAUGGGGGAAACCCUGACGCAGCAACGCCGCGUGAGUGAAGAAGGCUUUCGGGUCGUAAAGCUCUGUCAAGUGGGAAAAACGUCUUCCCGUUAACAGCGGGAAGGCCUGAUGGUACCACUGGAGGAAGCACCGGCUAACUCCGUGCCAGCAGCCGCGGUAAUACGGAGGGUGCAAGCGUUGUUCGGAAUUACUGGGCGUAAAGAGCGUGUAGGCGGCAAGGUAAGUCAGGCGUGAAAGCCCUGGGCUUAACCCGGGAAGUGCGUUUGAAACUGCCUCGCUCGAGUAUGGGAGAGGAGAGUGGAAUUCCCGGUGUAGAGGUGAAAUUCGUAGAUAUCGGGAGGAACACCCGUGGCGAAGGCGACUCUCUGGACCAAUACUGACGCUGAGACGCGAAAGCGUGGGGAGCAAACAGGAUUAGAUA